rnacentral:tRNA from 2 species
GGGGCUGUAGCUCAGUUGGGAGAGCACCUGCUUUGCAAGCAGGGGGUCACCGGUUCGAGCCCGGUCAGCUCCA